CUGGCGGCAGGCCUAACACAUGCAAGUCGAACGGAACCUUCGGGUUUAGUGGCGAACGGGUGAGUAAUGCCUAGGAAUCUGCCUAUUAGUGGGGGAUAACGAAUCGAAAGGUUCGCUAAUACCGCAUACGUCCUACGGGAGAAAGAGGGGGAUCUUUUGGACCUCUUGCUAAUAGAUGAGCCUAGGUCGGAUUAGCUAGUUGGUGGGGUAAAGGCUCACCAAGGCGACGAUCUGUAGCUGGUCUGAGAGGAUGGCCAGCCACACUGGAACUGAGACACGGUCCAGACUCCUACGGGAGGCAGCAGUGGGGAAUAUUGGACAAUGGGCGCAAGCCUGAUCCAGCCAUGCCGCGUGUGUGAAGAAGGCCCUCGGGUUGUAAAGCACUUUAAGCGAGGAGGAAGGUCAUCAUACUAAUAUUAUGAUGAAUUGACGUUACUCGCAGAAUAAGCACCGGCUAACUCUGUGCCAGCAGCCGCGGUAAUACAGAGGGUGCAAGCGUUAAUCGGAAUUACUGGGC
rnacentral:rRNA from 1 species